CAUGGACGCAGACCAUUUUUUCAUCAAAGAUGGAUUGGGUAGUGGAACAAUGGAUCGAACAUAUUUAUAAGCUUUUGGAGAAUAAAAAUAUAAAAUGUUUUGGAGAUUUUUUUGGGUGGAGAAGUUUCAUCAACGGAAUCAGAGGUAGCUGCAAAAGGUCUUUUAUUUGAAAGCUCGAGUCUAUUCAGCAGUGCGUUUGAGUGGGUUGUAGAAGUUGAAACAUUUUGAACAUGCAAGCUAUUGGACAUGGAUGGUAUGGCAUACUUUUUUAGUCGGCAUUUGCCAUUUUGUGAGGGGGGGACAAUGUAGUCAGUUAGUUGAAAAUGGUCACUGCAUAUACGAUGUGCACUUUUUGCUGUCCAUGGUACUUCAAGAUGGUUUACUUGUUGAACAAAAUGCUCCCAUAAUUUUAUGGCUGCCUUGUUUUUCAUGGGAAAUCUGUAAUACAUAUAAAUAUUCAUGAUCUAGUAUUUUAAAUAUUAUACUUCCAGUAAUUUCACUACAAAUCCUUGUCCAGUUAAAUAAAGUUGUAAGCCCUGUACUAACAAUAUGAUACCAGUUAUAUCUACUUUACACUUUUACUGUGAAAAGUAUUAUUUUAUUGCAAUUGUGACCAGCGAAACAAAUAAAUACUGUAUAUGACUAAACUGUCAAAAUAUAGAAUUUAUAUAUGUUAGUAUUUAACUGAAUUUUAUUAAAAUUUCAUUUUUGU